rnacentral:lncRNA from 1 species
CAAUGCAGCCGUCACCAGCAUCGCACCGACUGGCACUGGAACACACGUUGAAGGAGGCAGAGAAGGCGGCCCUAGACAAACAGGGAUUACAAUCUCUGCUGGUGAAGAAACUGACACGGACUACAAAAGCCUCCAGGUGCAGCAACAGAGACAGGGGGGUAAGACUGAGCUUCAUCUAUACUGGGCAACUUUCUGUAUUGUCUCUUACUGUUCAUGUGAUUGUGUAUGUUGUUGUCUGUACCACUCUGAAUAGUUGGGCUCAACAUUGUGUUAAAUAUUGAUAUUUAUUAAUACUGUGAAAAAUGGUAAAUUUUGGUAAACACCACGACAAAGCAAUUACAACAUGCUCUGAAUGUUGAUGUGAUUGUGUACAGUACACUGCCAAAAAGCAUGUUUACACGUGUAGGAAUUAACCCACUAUUAAAAGUGUAAGCCUACCUGCAAUUCCACAAUAAAGCCACGAGGGGGCGCCAUCACACCACGACAAAGCAAUUACAACAUGCUCUGAAUGUUGAUGUGAUUGUGUACAGUACACUGCCAAAAAGCAUGUUUACACGUGUAGGAAUUAACCCAGUAUUAAAGUGUAACCUUACCUGCAAUUCCACAAUAAAGCCACGAGGGGGCGCCAUCACACCACGACUGGUGGAACUCUUGCGCCACCUCUCCCCCACAACUAGACACCCUAUAGGCAAACGCAUGCAUAUAUUACGCUUUUUUACACACCUCCCAGCAAUGCAGCCGUCACCAGCAUCGCACGGACUGGCACUGGAACACACGUUGAAGGAGGCAGAGAAGGCAGCCCUAGACAAACAGGGAUUACAAUCUCUGCUGGUGAAGAAACUGACACGGACUACAAAAGCCUCCAGGUGCAGCAACAGAGACAGGGGGCAAUGCAGCCGUCACCAGCAUCGCACCGACUGGCACUGGAACACACGUUGAAGGAGGCAGAGAAGGCAGCCCUAGACAAACAGGGAUUACAAUCUCUGCUGGUGAAGAAACUGACACGGACUACAAAAGCCUCCAGGUGCAGCAACAGAGACAGGGGGGUAAGACUGAGCUUCAUCUAUACUGGGCAACUUUCUGUAUUGUCUCUUACUGUUCAUGUGAUUGUGUAUGUUGUUGUCUGUACCACUCUGAAUAGUUGGGCUCAACAUUGUGUUAAAUAUUGAUAUUUAUUAAUACUGUGAAAAAUGGUAAAUUUGCAAUUCCACAAUAAAGCCACGAGGGGGCGCCA